GAUGAACGCUGGCGGCGUGCUUAACACAUGCAAGUCGAACGAAGCAUUUACGACAGAUUUCUUCGGAUUGAAGUUGUUUAUGACUGAGUGGCGGACGGGUGAGUAACGCGUGGGUAACCUGCCUUGUACUGGGGGAUAGCAGCUGGAAACGGCUGGUAAUACCGCAUAAGCGCACAAUGUUGCAUGACAUGGUGUGAAAAACUCCGGUGGUAUAAGAUGGACCCGCGUCUGAUUAGCUAGUUGGUGAGAUAACAGCCCACCAAGGCGACGAUGAGUAGCCGGCCUGAGAGGGUGACCGGCCACAGUGGGACUGAGACACGGCCCAGACUCCUACGGGAGGCAGCAGUGGGGAAUAUUGCACAAUGGAGGAAACUUUGAUGCAGCGACGCCGCGUGAGUGAAGAAGUAAUUCGUUAUGUAAAGCUCUAUCAGCAGGGAAGAUAGUGACGGUACCUGACUAAGAAGCUCCGGCUAAAUACGUGCCAGCAGCCGCGGUAA
rnacentral:rRNA from 1 species